UACGAAGGGGGCUAGCGUUGCUCGGAAUCACUGGGCGUAAAGGGAGCGUAGGCGGGUUUCUAAGUCAGGUGUUUAAUCCCGGGGCCCAACCCCGGACAGGCACUUGAAACUGGGAAUCUUGAAUAGUGGAGAGGUCAGUGGAAUUGGGGGUGUAGCGGUGGAAUGCGUAGAGAUCCCCAAGAACACCAGUUGCGAAGGCGGCUGACUGGACACAUAUUGACGCUGAGGCGCGAAAGCUAGGGGAGCGAACGGG
rnacentral:rRNA from 1 species